GAUGAACGCUGGCGGCGUGCCUAACACAUGCAAGUCGAGCGAAGCGGGGACGGGUGAGUAACGUGUGGAUCACCUCCUCUAAGACUGGGAUAACUUCCGGAAACCGGAGCUAAACCUGAGACUUACAUAUGGACCCCCGCUGGAGUAGCUAGUUGGUAAGGUAACGGGUUACCAAGGCAACGAUGCAUAGCCGACCUGAGAGGCUGGUCGGCGGCCGUGGAGCUGAAACACGGUCCUGGGUCCUGCGAGAGGCAGCAGUAGGGUAUGGUGCGCAGUAGUCGAAAGCCUGACGGAGCAACGCCGCGUGAGAGAUGGAGGUCUUCGGAGCGUAAAGCUCUGUUAGGAGGGAAGCGGUACCUAGACAGGAAGCCCCGGCUAACUACGUGCCAGCCGCCGCGGUAAUAC
rnacentral:rRNA from 1 species